rnacentral:ribozyme from 1 species
GCCGCUUUAAGAAGACAGCCUCCACGGGGCGAGCGGCGGGCAACGGGAAAGGCUCCUGGCGAAUAGUCUUC